rnacentral:snRNA from 15 species
AUAUUAAUAUUGGCGCCGGAACCAGGAUGAUCACGAAUGCCGUGGCCCUAGAUGGAGGCUCGACUUUGCACUUCGGCGUGUUGAAGCCUGAGAAAAUCCCUGAUUGGGCUCUCUCUGACGCAUAGUGGGGAGGUCUCCGGAUCAUCCCCU